rnacentral:misc_RNA from 1 species
UGGACUACCAGGGUUUCUAAUCCUGUUUGCUCCCCACGCUUUCGCGGAUGAGUGUCGGAUCUGGCCCAGCGAGCCGCCUUCGCCACCGGUGUUCUUCCUGAUAUCUACGCAUUCCACCGCUACACCAGGAAUUCCGCUCGCCUCUACCAGUCCCUAGCCUUCCAGUAUCCUAUGCACAUCCGGAGUUGAGCCCCGGGAUUUCACAAAGGACUUAAAAGGCCACCUGCCCGCGCUUUACGCCCAGUAAUUCCGAACAACGCUUGCACCCUCCGUCUUACCGCGGCGGCUGGCACGC